UUUGUUUACAUGUAAGCGCUCCGAACCUACGCGUGUCUACCCUUUUUUCUCUUUCCCUUUCUCUCUUUUCCUCUAUCUCUGAUCCUUUUUCGUACCUUCCUCAUUUAAUUACAGGAUGGCCUACGCGUGCAGAGUGCCCAGCAAGAAAAUGAUUGAGGACAUUUUUCAAAGUCAUCUUGGCAAGAAAACGCGAAUUUCGAAAGACGUUUUGCCGCUUCUCCAUCUGCAGUUUAUUUUGUUUCUUAAAGAAUUGGCUUCCAUUUCUGACUUGGAGGCUUUCAAGCAGAGAAGGCGCGUUUUAACCGGAAAAGAGAUCGAAAUGUGUGCGCCUUCGUUGCAGAGGAGGUACUGCGACGCGAAGAGGACGAGAGCGGCGCCAGAACCAAGCUCCUCUCGGGAAACCCCCGGUAGUGAAUCCUAAGAAGUUGACGGUUAGCGGGAAAAACGUCAUGGAAAAGAUAGAAUUUUUAUUUGAAUUUUGGUUUGAAAGUUGGCGGUUAGCGGGAGAAACGUUAUGAAAUAAACGAAUUUUUAUUUAAUUGUAGUUUAAAAAGUUGACGAUUAGCGGGAGAAACGUUAUGGAAAAAGAUGAAACUGUGAUUUGAAUCUUGUUUUGGUUGAAGUUCAAAGAUGCACCGUUUGUUGAAGGAACGUUCUUACAAAAAGGGAACUUUGGUUUGAAAUAUUACUUUGAUUGCCUUCUUUUAUUGUGUGUAACAAUAUUAGCUGGGAACUGCCCAGAAUUAUGUUUUUUGUUCAGUUAGAUUUUUUUUCCUUUCCUUUAUAAUCUUCAGAAGGUUUAUUUCUCAUUUUUGCAAAAGGCAUUUGUUGAUGUUGCCUUUCCCUGCCAGUUGUUGAAGUAGAUUAUAGGUUUAUUAUCUAAGCGGCAAAUCGUUGUUGCGGAAAAAUACAGGUUCUGAUUAUUUCUUACCACGAAUUAGAUAUGAAAAAGAGGAGAGAGAGAGAAUCAGAUUAUUUCCUAUGUAAAAGGAUUUUUGUCAUAUAUGUUGCCAUAGGAUAUAGAGAUUUCAGUAAAGGAAUCGACGUUAAUUUGCUGUGUUGUGUUUUCACUUAUUUGCUAUGCUAUGUUUUCACAUAAUCAUUAUGUGAGGAAAGUAAACAGCAGUUUUGAAGGAAGGAAGAAAAGUUAUUUCAUUCAGAAAGGGACAAGUUGCUAUUCUUUGUUAUGCAAUAAAGGUUGCUUUACCCAUAUAACACAAGACUGUAGUUCCGCUACCCUAUACAUUCUGCACGCAGCUCUUGUCACAUUGUCUACAUCUGUUACUCCCAUUGUGUCCAAAAUAGUUGCAAAUAUGAACAUUUUGCUUCAUCUUCUGAGGAAAAGAAACCUUUUACUAUUCUCCCCUUCGUAUUCCUGCAAUUUGUUUAAUGUGAAUCAUACAAAAGAAAGAAGAGGGCUAUGGACCACGUGACAACAACUUACUGCAAAUUCACGCUCGCAUCACAAUCGAGGUCACGCGUCUUCUACGUCGUCAGUGGUAGUUCUUUUGAUCUUCUGUACAGGUUGUUUCCCCUUACGGAUUAUGUGCUUUUGGAGAUGACUGGUUAUUGGGCACGCGCCGUAUAAUCACGUCUUUGAGUUAGCAUGGGUAAACCGUAGUCUUUUUGAAAUGGCAACUGUACUUUAACUGUCUCUCGGUCCUUUGUGGAAAGUAGGUUAACCCGUGCAAUUGCCUUUCGCGGAGAGGAAAUUGUGGUGUACGGGGAGUUUCCUGUGAGAAGUGCUUGUGCAAGCUUGGUUACCUUGAUGCUGCUUUCAUCACAAUCCUUUCUGAGACUGCUUGGAGGCGCUGGCUGUAAUGUACAAUAUGAUAGAAUCUUGUCGCAUGCGAAGAGGUCCACGUGCAACCGAAUGCUACUUGUUGUUUGCAACAUAUUUGUCUCGUGUUGAAUACCUGGACUGUAAUGUUGAAUGUAAGAUGUUGCCCAAAUACUGCUCGGAGGAAAAGUACCUUGACGUAGAAUGUGUUAAGUAAAGUGUGUAGAAUGUGUAAAGUAAAAUGGGCCGACCAAA
rnacentral:lncRNA from 1 species